CCUGAUGCAGCCUGCCGCGUGUGUGAAGAAGGCCUUCGGGUUGUAAAGCACUUUAGCGUGAGGAAAGGGUAGUAGCUAAUAACUGCUAUCUGUGACGUUAGCGACAGAAGAAGCACCGGCUAACUCCGUGCCAGCAGCCGCGGUAAUACGGAGGGUGCGAGCGUUAAUCGGAAUUACUGGGCGUAAAGCGUGCGUAGGCGGUUUGUUAAGCGAGAUGUGAAAGCCCAGGGCUCAACCUUGGAACUGCAUUUCGAACUGGCAGGCUAGAGUACUGUAGAGGGUGGUGGAAUUUCCAGUGUAGCGGUGAAAUGCGUAGAGAUUGGAAGGAACAUCAGUGGCGAAGGCGGCCACCUGGACAGAUACUGACGCUGAGGCACGAAAGCGUGGGGAGCACGGUUAGAUACCCUGGUAGUCCACGCCGUAACGGCCCUCUGUGUACUUGAUACGUGGGUAGCGUAGCUAACGCGCUAAGUGACCGCCUG
rnacentral:rRNA from 1 species